rnacentral:misc_RNA from 1 species
GAUGAAGAACGCAGCGAAAUGCGAUAAGUAAUGUGAAUUGCAGAAUUCAGUGAAUCAUCGAAUCUUUGAACGCACCUUGCGCCCUUUGGACAUUCCGAAGGGCAUGCCUGUUUGAGUAUCAUGAACACCUCAACUCUCACGGCUUGUCCGUGAUGAGCUUGGACUUUGGGGGUCUUGCCGGCCUGUGGUCGGCUCCUCUCAAAUGGAUCAGCUUGCCAGUGUUUGGUGGCAUCACAGGUGUGAUAACUAUCUGCGCUUGUGGUUUUCCAUCAGAUAACCUUCAGUGAUAUGGAGGUUCGCUGGAGCUCACAAAUGUCUCUCCUUAGUGAGGACAGCUCUUUGAACGUUUGAUCUCAAAUCAGGUAGGACUACCCGCUGAACUUAAGCAUAUCAAUAAGCGAAGGA